GGUAUGGUUAGAAGGGGAGGGCUUACAAAGGCGUCAGACAAGAGAUCUACAGCUUUAUACAUAUGCUGUAGAUCUCUUGUCUGAUGCCUUUGUAAGCUCUCCCCU